UUUAAUCCAAAACUUUCUGAUUUUGGACUUGCCAAGCUAGGUCCAACUGGUGGCAGGAGUCAUGUCUCCACCAGGGUCAUGGGAACCUAUGGUUACUGUGCACCUGACUAUGCUUGCACAGGUAAAUUGACCGUCUCAUGUUUCCACCAGGGUCAUGGGAACCUAUGGUUACUGUGCACCUGACUAUGCUUGCACAGGUAAAUUGACCGUUAAGUCUGAUGUUUAUAGCUUUGGCGUAGUCUUUUUAGAAAUAAUCACAGGAAGACGAGUAAUUGACAGCUCCAGACCAAGCGAUGAACAGAACCUCGUCAAGUG
rnacentral:lncRNA from 1 species